UACAGAGACUGCAAGCGUUAUUCGGAUUCACUGGGCGUAAAGGGUGCGCAGGCGGCCGUGUGUGUUGGGCGUGAAAGCCCGGGGCUUAACCCCGGAAUUGCACCCAAAACUACAUGGCUAGAGCAUUGGAGAGGGUAGCAGAAUUCAUGGUGUAGCAGUGAAAUGCGUAGAGAUCCGGAGGAACGCCUGUGGCGCAAGCGGCCACCUGGGCCUGACCUGACGCUGAGGUGCGAAAGCGUGGGGAGCGAACCGG
rnacentral:rRNA from 1 species